GUUCGCCAAGACUUUGUGAUAAGAAGUGACAAUAUUUUGCAACACAUUGGCUUUUAGCCAGUUUAAGCUCUGUCAUCGUCAUAUUCACAUCGAGACUUGUGAGUUCCUUCAAAGAAUGGCAUCAAAAAGCAUCACUGUGGAUUCUAUUAACAAUCAAAAAAGCUCCAAGAGCACCCAAGAGAAAGCUGUAAGCUCUUUGGAGACCAGACAGGAAGUGAUAGAGCCGCCUUGUGUGAAAGUUCAUAUUCCCAAAAUGUUUAAUGUGAUAAAGGCUCCGACAGUGUGUCCUCCCGGCCAUCGUCUUGAUUCAUUUGGCAAAUGCCGACCAAUUUUCUAAAAACAGAACUACUGAAGUGCUCAAAUAUUUUGUCUAAAUUGUUCUUAUAUGACGUCUUGAAUAAAUGCCCAUUUGCUAAUGUACGUAAAUAAGUCUGCAAAUUCACUUUUCAUGUUACCUCACCCGUUUGGGUAUGAUAAAGUUUGAGAAUGAGGCUCGUUCUGUUUUGAUUUCCUUAUCGACGAUUCUUGGGAAAGCACUGUUCAUUCCAAAAGUAUUUGCUGGUAUUCUGCAUAAAACCUUUUAUCCAUUAUAAGCCGGAAAUAGGAAAGACUACCGACACAACGGAAAAAAAUCUUAUAGGCUUGGCACAACAUAGUUUGAAACCAGUCUCCUUAUCAAAGACAGCCAUUAUCGCGGAAUGAUUGUUUAAAGGUGGAUUGAUAAGGGGUAACAAUAAAAUAAAGCGUUUGCCCACGGACACCAUACAGUUGAUCGUGUGAAUUGUCCAAGAAGUGUUCAAAAAGUUUUCAAGUGCGUUAAAUUACCAUGGAUGUGGAUACUUCAAAGAAGACUAGUGAUCCUGCCCCAGCCCCUGUUGCGUUUGGUUUUGCCCCAACAACGGCAUUUUCUGUUCCAGAAAACAAAACUCAAAUGAAAGUGAAACCUAGUAACGUCAUCAAGUCUCCGAAGGUAUGUGAGCCUGGGUACCGCCUGAACUCCCGAGGAGAGUGCAAACCAAUUUUCUAAAUAAUGUGAUCAAGAGUUCUACAAAAACUCGUGACAAGAGCUACAAAAUGCUGCAUCUUCUGGACUAAACAUAUUAAGAAAUAUUUUCAGUUAUAAAAAGAAACACCGACAAAGCGAAUCUUUUAUCUUUAGGAAUGAAAAUUUUUGUGGAAAAUAAAAUGAACCUGUUAGAGAUAAGAUUUAGGCAACGUUGCUUGUACAUUAUAUAAUCUCACUGUUUUUUUUUUCUUAUAUCUAUUGUACACAUGGAAAAUUGUAAUAAAUUGAUGUUUAACAAAAU